CAUGCAAGUCGAACCUAAAGGCCCUUCGGGGUACACGAGUGGCGAACGGGUGAGUAACACGUGGGUGAUCUGCCCUGCACUUUGGGAUAAGCCUGGGAAACUGGGUCUAAUACCGAAUACACCCUGCUGGUCGCAUGGCCUGGUGGGGGAAAGCUUUUGCGGUGUGGGAUGGGCCCGCGGCCUAUCAGCUUGUUGGUGGGGUGAUGGCCUACCAAGGCGACGACGGGUAGCCGGCCUGAGAGGGUGUCCGGCCACACUGGGACUGAGAUACGGCCCAGACUCCUACGGGAGGCAGCAGUGGGGAAUAUUGCACAAUGGGCGCAAGCCUGAUGCAGCGACGCCGCGUGAGGGAUGACGGCCUUCGGGUUGUAAACCUCUUUCAGUAGGGACGAAGCGUGAGUGACGGUACCUAUAGAAGAAGCACCGGCCAACUACGUGCCAGCAGCCGCGGUAAUACGUAGGGUGCGAGCGUUGUCCGGAAUUACUGGGCGUAAAGAGCUCGUAAGUGGUUUGUCGCGUUGUUCGUGAAAACUCACA
rnacentral:rRNA from 1 species